GCAGGCCCUGGAGGAAAUAAAAGUAUUUUACCCCCAAAUAUACUUUUUUGGCAUCUUUCAAAAUGGCCCUGCAAAGCUGUCUCUCUUUUGCAGACAGUCUCAUAUCUUUUAAGGUCUGAGAAGAGACCUCCACAUCUAUUGUCUCUGAAGCCUGCUACCUGGAGUCUUCGACUACAUGACAAGAACCUUGGCUUCCACAACCCCCACUCUUUACCUUAACUCAAGCUGACUUAACAGACAAAGCUUAACUCUCAACCAGUUGCCAAUUGGGGAAUCUUUGAAUCUGAGGUAGGAGGCGGGACUCAACUCCAGACCAGAUGGAAGACUGGUUAAAAUAGGGAAGAGGCAUUGAAAGCAUCUCUCCACGAGACAGCCCCACCAUUGCUGUGGCAACAUCCGGAAGGUACCACUUCUUUUCUAGGAAUUUCUGGAUAACCCACCCCUUAAUUUGCAUGUAGUUAAAAGUGGGUGUAAAUAUGACUGCAAAACUGCCCCUGAGCUGUGCGCGGAGCACACUGCCUAUGGGUAGUCCUGCUUCGCGAGGAGCAGUACCUCUGCUGCUGUACUCAAUAAAAGAUGCCGUCUAACACCACAGGCCCGCCCUUGAAUUCUUUCUUGGGUGAAGCCAAGAACGUUCCCGGCUAUGCCCCAGUUUUGGGGCUUGCCCACCAUGCAUCAAAUCUACUUAUGACCUGGAAGCCUCCAAACUUCGAGAUGUCCUGCAUUUCCAGAAACACAGUCAUGCUCUGUCGCCUAGGCUGGUCUCAAACACCUAGCUUCAAGCAAUCCUUCCACCUCAGCCUCCCAAAUUGAUGGGAUUACAGGUGUGAGCUACCACACUCAGCCUCUGCUACAUAAUUUAUGUGGAAAAUUCCUCCUUUUUAUUAAUCAAAACCUACACUCAAUAGAUACAUAUUUCUUGGGGAUUUCCAAACUGGAAAUAACCAACACAACUAGGUCAAGCAUCCAUCAUGCACCAUGUACACCACAGUGCACCACAGCUGAGACCAGUGUGGAUCCCACCAUCAGCAGCUUUUCCAAAGGACCCAGGCAAAAUGUGUGGUGUUUCUGAGGGCAUCCUCUUCCACAUUUUUAGCGUAAUCUACCUCGACACACAGAUGCAAUGCUCACAGAGGCCAGAACGCUUCCCAGAAGCAGCCAAGAGUGAGCACUUUCUCAUGGUGUAAAAUAUUCUACCAAAACCUUAUUUCCAAUAGGUGGACAUUGAAGUGGACCUAAUUCGGUUUUCCUUUUAAAAGCCCCCACAAACAAAAGUAGUUUGAAACCUAUUUAAAAU
rnacentral:lncRNA from 1 species